CUGACCGAUUUCUCCUGGUGUUCAGAGUCUGUUUUUGUCUAGCAUCACUUGAAAUCGGUUGU
rnacentral:pre_miRNA from 1 species